GGGCAUACGGUGUAGCUGGUUAUCACAUCCGCUUAGCAUGUUGCUUGGGUUGCGGGGGGUCUCCGGUUCGAGUCCGGAUUUGUCCA